GUUCAAAACAAAAGAAUGACAGACAUUUUGAAAGAUGCAGUGUCAGAUGUUGCUAAAUCUGUGUCUGACUCAGAUGAGAUGUUGAUGAUUCAAUAAAGACAGAUUCAGUCUGCACUCAGACAAUGAGGCUGUUCAAAGCUUAGAGGACAAAAAGUGUUCUGAUGGAUGACAUGCCACGCUCCGAUGCUCUCUGUGAUUCAAGUGAUGAUGACGAUGCUCACCCUUCCACAUCAAAGGCCAAAGAGAAGUCUCUUGUAGAAUCAGACAAUACAAGCGAAGGUAGUGAAGAGGAGUAUGUUCCACAUGGAAAAUAAAAAAGGACAAAGUUGAUUCUACAAGUCUGAUGAGAACAAAGUCCUCCAGUCAGCCUCAGUGUGAGUCUAGGCAGUACCGAAGAUCUGAAACAGAACCUGAUUCCACACAAAGAUUUCCUGUUGUCACAGCAGAUGCUGAUGAAGAUGAAAUGGUAGAAGAGCCACGUGUACGUUAAUCCAGUUUUGAAACACGUGAGGUUUUUUAACUGGUUGUGAAUUAUUCAUUUGAUCUAAAUACGAAUAUAAUUAUUCAUUUGAUCUAAAGAAGUGCUACUUAUUACACGUUG
ensembl:lncRNA